rnacentral:rRNA from 1 species
AGUGGUGGACGGGUGAGUAACGCGUGAGAAUCUGCCUUGGGGUCGGGGACAACCACUGGAAACGGUGGCUAAUACCGGAUAAGCCGAUUGGUGAAAGAUUUAUUGCCCGAAGAGGAGCUCGCGUCUGAUUAGCUAGUUGGUGAGGUAAGAGCUCACCAAGGCAGCGAUCAGUAGCUGGUCUGAGAGGACGAUCAGCCACACUGGGACUGAGACACGGCCCAGACUCCUACGGGAGGCAGCAGUGGGGAAUUUUCCGCAAUGGGCGAAAGCCUGACGGAGCAAGACCGCGUGAGGGAGGAAGGCUCUUGGGUUGUAAACCUCUUUUCUCAGGGAAGAAGCUCUGACGGUACCUGAGGAAUCAGCCUCGGCUAACUCCGUGCCAGCAGCCGCGGUAAUACGGAGGAGGCAAGCGUUAUCCUGAAUUAUUGGGCGUAAAGCGUCCGCAGGUGGCGAUUCAAGUCUGCUGUCAAAGCACGGGGCUUAACUCCGUAAAGGCAGUGGAAACUGAAUAGCUAGAGUGCCGUAGGGGUAGAGGGAAUUCCCGGUGUAGCGGUGAAAUGCGUAGAGAUCGGGAAGAACAUCGGUGGCGAAAGCGCUCUACUGGACGGCAACUGACACUCAGGGACGAAAGCUAGGGGAGCGAAUGGGAUUAGAUACCCC